UACGGAGGGAGCUAGCGUUGUUCGGAAUUACUGGGCGUAAAGAGUACGUAGGCGGCUAUUCAAGUCAGAGGUGAAAGCCCGGGGCUCAACCCCGGAACUGCCUUUGAAACUAGAUAGCUAGAGUCUUGGAGAGGUCAGUGGAAUUCCGAGUGUAGAGGUGAAAUUCGUAGAUAUUCGGAAGAACACCAGUGGCGAAGGCGACUGACUGGACAAGUACCGACGCUGAGGUACGAAAGCGUGGGGAGCAAACAGG
rnacentral:misc_RNA from 1 species